rnacentral:rRNA from 1 species
CAGUAGCCGCGGUAAUACGAAGGGGGCUAGCGUUGUUCGGAAUUACUGGGCGUAAAGCGCACGUAGGCGGAUAUUUAAGUCAGGGGUGAAAUCCCAGAGCUCAACUCUGGAACUGCCUUUGAUACUGGGUAUCUUGAGUAUGGAAGAGGUGAGUGGAAUUCCGAGUGUAGAGGUGAAAUUCGUAGAUAUUCGGAGGAACACCAGUGGCGAAGGCGGCUCACUGGUCCAUUACUGACGCUGAGGUGCGAAAGCGUGGGGAGCAAACAGGAUUAGAUACCCGCGUAGUCCCUGUCUCUUAUAC